GACAGAGGGUGCAAACGUUGCUCGGAAUUACUGGGCGUAAAGCGCGUGUAGGCGGACCAGCAAGUCAGGCGUGAAAUCCCUGGGCUCAACCCAGGAACUGCACCUGAAACUGCUGGUCUGGAGUGGUGGAGAGGGAAGCAGAAUUCCUGGUGUAGAGGUGAAAUUCGUAGAUAUCAGGAGGAACACCGGUGGCGAAGGCGGCUUCCUGGACACUAACUGACGCUGAGACGCGAAAGCGUGGGGAGCAAACAGG
rnacentral:rRNA from 1 species